rnacentral:lncRNA from 1 species
GACCUUCCCCCAAAAUAUUCUCCCACCUAAAACCUUCCCCCAAAAACAAUCAUCACAUAAUACCUCAUCCCCAAAUAAAACUCCCUCACAUAACACUCCAUUCCACACCCUCUAUAAAAACCAUUUUGCUUCACAAAUUAGAGAGGGACAACAAAAAAUUACAAAAAAAAGGACGAAAAUUCAAAAUAAGUCACACGAAAAAACUACAAAAAAAAAAACGACAUGAAAAAAUACACAAAGAAAACUCAAAGAAAAAACACAAACCCUUUCUUCUCCAAGCCCUUCCAACGACCCUUCCUUCUCCUCACUUCACAGCCAGCGAACCCUCCAUCUCCAUCGUCAGUCACCAGCAGCAGCAGGUCGCCGGAACACAAACACCAUCUUUAACUCAUCUCUUCGAACCCCUAUCUCCGACCAAACCAGCAGCUAGCUGCAAAAUAAGAGAGGAAAAAGAGUUCGAAAAAUAGUAACGAUAAUAGGGGAGGGGGCGAAAACGUCCGGAGUUGUGUUGAGUCGAGUUUUUUCGAUGCCGGUUUGAGUUCAGUCCAGAGGUCGUCGGAUUGUCGUGAUAUUUUUUCCGUUAUAGUGAUGAACUGUAUUCGAUUUGUUCGAUUUGAAGAAGGAGCUGUAUCACUACCUCUGUGAGCUUCAUCUAGUAUGUAUGUCAUUUUUAAUUUGGUUUAUGAUAAUGUUAUCUACUGUGUUUUCCUUAUUUUGAUUUGUUGGAAAUGGUAUUUCUAAUCUCAGAGUUUGGUUCCUUGUUCGAAAAAUCGAGAAUGUGAAUUUGUUUGUAUGGUGAAUUUGUUGACAUUAGUGAUUAGUGUGUGGUCCUUUACAUUAUUUUAUUAAUGAUUGGCCUGAUAAUUGGAGUGCCCUACAUGGCACAUGGCUCAUUCCCCGUUUCAUUUUUCCCUUUUGUUGUCGACGGUUACGUAUUUUAGUAUUUUAGCUUUUGCCUUUUUGUAAGAAUUUAGAAGAUGCAGGUUGUUUUU